UUAGAGUUUGAUCCUGGCUCAGAUUGAACGCUGGCGGCAGGCCUAACACAUGCAAGUCGAGCGGUAGAGAGGUGCUUGCACCUCUUGAGAGCGGCGGACGGGUGAGUAAUACCUAGGAAUCUGCCUGGUAGUGGGGGAUAACGUUCGGAAACGGACGCUAAUACCGCAUACGUCCUACGGGAGAAAGCAGGGGACCUUCGGGCCUUGCGCUAUCAGAUGAGCCUAGGUCGGAUUAGCUAGUUGGUGAGGUAAUGGCUCACCAAGGCUACGAUCCGUAACUGGUCUGAGAGGAUGAUCAGUCACACUGGAACUGAGACACGGUCCAGACUCCUACGGGAGGCAGCAGUGGGGAAUAUUGGACAAUGGGCGAAAGCCUGAUCCAGCCAUGCCGCGUGUGUGAAGAAGGUCUUCGGAUUGUAAAGCACUUUAAGUUGGGAGGAAGGGCAUUAACCUAAUACGUUAGUGCUUUGACGUUACCGACAGAAUAAGCACCGGCUAACUCUGUGCCAGCAGCCGCGGUAAUACAGAGGGUGCAAGCGUUAAUCGGAAUUACUGGGCGUAAAGCGCGCGUAGGUGGUUUGUUAAGUUGAAUGUGAAAUCCCCGGGCUCAACCUGGGAACUGCAUCCAAAACUGGCAAGCUAGAGUAUGGUAGAGGGUGGUGGAAUUUCCUGUGUAGCGGUGAAAUGCGUA
rnacentral:rRNA from 1 species